rnacentral:rRNA from 1 species
UUAAGCGACUAAGCGUACACGGUGGAUGCCCUGGCAGUCAGAGGCGAUGAAGGACGUGCUAAUCUGCGAUAAGCGUCGGUAAGGUGAUAUGAACCGUUAUAACCGGCGAUUUCCGAAUGGGGAAACCCAGUGUGUUUCGACACACUAUCAUUAACUGAAUCCAUAGGUUAAUGAGGCGAACCGGGGGAACUGAAACAUCUAAGUACCCCGAGGAAAAGAAAUCAACCGAGAUUCCCCCAGUAGCGGCGAGCGAACGGGGAGGAGCCCAGAGCCUGAAUCAGUGUGUGUGUUAGUGGAAGCGUCUGGAAAGGCGCGCGAUACAGGGUGACAGCCCCGUACACAAAAAUGCACAUAUUGUGAGCUCGAUGAGUAGGGCGGGACACGUGGUAUCCUGUCUGAAUAUGGGGGGACCAUCCUCCAAGGCUAAAUACUCCUGACUGACCGAUAGUGAACCAGUACCGUGAGGGAAAGGCGAAAAGAACCCCGGCGAGGGGAGUGAAAAAGAACCUGAAACCGUGUACGUACAAGCAGUGGGAGCACGCUUAGGCGUGUGACUGCGUACCUUUUGUAUAAUGGGUCAGCGACUUAUAUUCUGUAGCAAGGUUAACCGAAUAGGGGAGCCGAAGGGAAACCGAGUCUUAACUGGGCGUUAAGUUGCAGGGUAUAGACCCGAAACCCGGUGAUCUAGCCAUGGGCAGGUUGAAGGUUGGGUAACACUAACUGGAGGACCGAACCGACUAAUGUUGAAAAAUUAGCGGAUGACUUGUGGCUGGGGGUGAAAGGCCAAUCAAACCGGGAGAUAGCUGGUUCUCCCCGAAAGCUAUUUAGGUAGCGCCUCGUGAAUUCAUCUCCGGGGGUAGAGCACUGUUUCGGCAAGGGGGUCAUCCCGACUUACCAACCCGAUGCAAACUGCGAAUACCGGAGAAUGUUAUCACGGGAGACACACGGCGGGUGCUAACGUCCGUCGUGAAGAGGGAAACAACCCAGACCGCCAGCUAAGGUCCCAAAGUCAUGGUUAAGUGGGAAACGAUGUGGGAAGGCCCAGACAGCCAGGAUGUUGGCUUAGAAGCAGCCAUCAUUUAAAGAAAGCGUAAUAGCUCACUGGUCGAGUCGGCCUGCGCGGAAGAUGUAACGGGGCUAAACCAUGCACCGAAGCUGCGGCAGCGACACUAUGUGUUGUUGGGUAGGGGAGCGUUCUGUAAGCCUGUGAAGGUGUACUGUGAGGUAUGCUGGAGGUAUCAGAAGUGCGAAUGCUGACAUAAGUAACGAUAAAGCGGGUGAAAAGCCCGCUCGCCGGAAGACCAAGGGUUCCUGUCCAACGUUAAUCGGGGCAGGGUGAGUCGACCCCUAAGGCGAGGCCGAAAGGCGUAGUCGAUGGGAAACAGGUUAAUAUUCCUGUACUUGGUGUUACUGCGAAGGGGGGACGGAGAAGGCUAUGUUGGCCGGGCGACGGUUGUCCCGGUUUAAGCGUGUAGGCUGGUUUUCCAGGCAAAUCCGGAAAAUCAAGGCUGAGGCGUGAUGACGAGGCACUACGGUGCUGAAGCAACAAAUGCCCUGCUUCCAGGAAAAGCCUCUAAGCAUCAGGUAACAUCAAAUCGUACCCCAAACCGACACAGGUGGUCAGGUAGAGAAUACCAAGGCGCUUGAGAGAACUCGGGUGAAGGAACUAGGCAAAAUGGUGCCGUAACUUCGGGAGAAGGCACGCUGAUAUGUAGGUGAAGUCCCUUGCGGAUGGAGCUGAAAUCAGUCGAAGAUACCAGCUGGCUGCAACUGUUUAUUAAAAACACAGCACUGUGCAAACACGAAAGUGGACGUAUACGGUGUGACGCCUGCCCGGUGCCGGAAGGUUAAUUGAUGGGGUUAGCGGUAACGCGAAGCUCUUGAUCGAAGCCCCGGUAAACGGCGGCCGUAACUAUAACGGUCCUAAGGUAGCGAAAUUCCUUGUCGGGU